rnacentral:rRNA from 1 species
GACGAACGCUGGCGGCGUGCUUAACACAUGCAAGUCGAACGGUGAAGCGCCUUCCUUUUUGGUGGGUGUGGAUGAGUGGCGAACGGGUGAGUAACACGUGAGUAACCUGCCCCCUUCUUCUGGAUAACCGCAUGAGAGUGUGGCUAAUACGGGAUAUUCUGGGUCUGUCGCAUGAUGGGUCUGGGAAAGAUAUUGUUUCGGUGGGGGAUGGGCUCGCGGCCUAUCAGCUUGUUGGUGGGGUGAUGGCCUACCAAGGCGGUGACGGGUAGCCGGCCGGGGAGGGUGGACGGUCACGCUGGGACUGAGCCACGGCCCCGCCUCCGGCGGGCGGCAGCAGUGGGGAUUAUUGCACAGUGGGCGCCAGCCUGAUGCAGCGCCGCCGCGUGAGGGAUGGAGGCCUUCGGGUUGUGAACCUCUUUCGCCAGUGAAGCAGGCCUGCCUCGUUUGUGGGUGGGUUGACGGUAGCUGGAUAAGAAGCGCCGGCUAACUACGUG